rnacentral:rRNA from 1 species
GACGAACGCUGGCGGCGUGCUUAACACAUGCAAGUCGAACGGAAAGGCCCUGCUUUUGUGGGGUGCUCGAGUGGCGAACGGGUGAGUAACACGUGAGUAACCUGCCCUUGACUGUGGGAUAACUUCUGGGAACUGGGGCUAAUACCGGGUAGAAGCUCCUGCUGCAUGGUGGGGGUUGGAAAGUUUCGGCUGUUGGGGAUGGACUCGCGGCUUAUGAGCUUGUUGGGGGGGUUGUGGCUUACCAAGGCUUUGAAGGGUAGCCGGCCUGAGAGGGUGACCGGCCACAUUGGGACUGAGAUACGGCCCAGACUCCUACGGGAGGCAGCAGUGGAGAAUAUUGCACAAUGGGCGGAAGCCUGAUGCAGCAACGCCGCGUGCGGGAUGACGGCUUUCGGGUUGUAAACCGCUUUCGCCUGUGACGAAGCGUGAGUGACGGUAAUGGGUAAAGAAGCACCGGCUAACUACGUG